rnacentral:rRNA from 1 species
UGGGGAAUUUUGGACAAUGGGCGAAAGCCUGAUCCAGCAAUGCCGCGUGUGUGAAGAAGGCCUUCGGGUUGUAAAGCACUUUUGUCCGGAAAGAAAUCCUUGGCUCUAAUACAGUCGAGGGAUGACGGUACCGGAAGAAUAAGCACCGGCUAACUACGUGCCAGCAGCCGCGGUAAUACGUAGGGUGCAAGCGUUAAUCGGAAUUACUGGGCGUAAAGCGUGCGCAGGCGGUUUGCUAAGACCGAUGUGAAAUCCCCGGGCUCAACCUGGGAACUGCAUUGGUGACUGGCAGGCUAGAGUAUGGCAGAGGGGGGUAGAAUUCCACGUGUAGCAGUGAAAUGCGUAGAGAUGUGGAGGAAUACCGAUGGCGAAGGCAGCCCCCUGGGCCAAAUACUGACGCUCAUGCACGAAAAGCGUGGGGAGCAAAACAGGAUUAGAUACCCUGGUAGUCCACGCCCUAAAACGAUGUCAACUAGUUGUUGGGGAUUCAUUUCCUUAGUAACGUAGCUAACGCGUGAAGUUGACCGCCUGGGGAGU